rnacentral:tRNA from 1 species
GGGGUGUGGCUCAGUGGUAGAGCACCUGCCUAGGAUGCACAAGGCCCUGGGUUCAAUACACAGUGACCUCA